rnacentral:rRNA from 1 species
GAUGAACGCUGACAGAAUGCUUAACACAUGCAAGUCUACUUGAACUUCGGUUUGGGUGGCGGACGGGUGAGUAACGCGUAAAGAACUUGCCUCACAGUUAGGGACAACAUUUGGAAACGAAUGCUAAUACCUGAUAUUAUGAUUUUAGGGCAUCCUAAGAUUAUGAAAGCUAUAUGCACUGUGAGAGAGCUUUGCGUCCCAUUAGCUAGUUGGAGAGGUAACGGCUCACCAAGGCGAUGAUGGGUAGCCGGCCUGAGAGGGUGAACGGCCACAAGGGGACUGAGACACGGCCCUUACUCCUACGGGAGGCAGCAGUGGGGAAUAUUGGACAAUGGACCAAAAGUCUGUUCCAGCAAUUCUGUGUGCACGAUGACGUUUUUCGGAAUGUAAAGUGCUUUCAGUUGGGAAGAAAAAAAUGACGGUACCAACAGAAGAAGUGACGGCUAAAUACGUG